rnacentral:rRNA from 1 species
UACAGAGGGGGCGAGCGUUGUUCGGAAUUACUGGGCGUAAAGGGCGCGUAGGCGGCCUUCUAAGUCGAACGUGAAAUCCCCGGGCUCAACCCGGGAACUGCGUCCGAUACUGGGAGGCUUGAAUCCGGGAGAGGGAUGUGGAAUUCCAGGUGUAGCGGUGAAAUGCGCAGAUAUCAGGAGGAACACCGGUGGCGAAGGCGGAUCUCUGGGCCUUACCUGACGCUCAGGCGCGAAAGCUAGGGGAGCGAACAGG